UGCGAACGAGAGAUCUUUUCCUUUUGGAAAAGCGAUUAAAACGAAAGAAACAAACCAAUCAAAAAGUGCCUAAAUUAAAAACGUCCGGCGCUGCCCCGAGCGUCUCCUCGGGAUGUGCCGUCCAAGAGAGAUCGCAUUAGGGACAGAGCUGGAAGUGCGGCCAUAAAUACCCCUCCGGAUUUGUUCAGCGCCGAAUAAAUCUGACUUAACCAUCCGGCAGCUGACUCCGGCGCUUUAAUUACAGAUAGUAUUGAUCUGGAGCUAUCUCUAGGGCUGGCCACACUCCUCGUAGCGGCCAAAGGUAAACAAUUUUUUUUUUUUUUUUUUUUUUAAAGCAGUUUAAACUCUGGUUCUGUCUGAAAGUGCCUGAUAAAGGCCCCAGCGAGGGGGGGAAAGGGAACGGGAGCAUUUUAAUAAGCUGGUUUAACCCGCUUCGCUGCCUCUUCAGAACAGAGCGCUGCCUGGCCGGACACACAUCUCUACUGCAUUUUCAUAUUCUCCAAAAGUCCCCCAUCAAAAAGCUGAGCGGGGAACAAGGGCUCUGUACCAAUCGCGGGAUGAUUGCGACAAACAAUCCGGUGAGAGAAACCCCUCAUUUCGUUGCGGGAGGCGAUGGCCGUUCUCCACCAGAGUGGAGCCGCUCCGCUCCCCCCGGUGCCACGUUCGGGGCAGCCGGGAAAGGAGACCCGCAGAUUUGUUUUACGAAACUUAAAAGCAGAACCGGACCCACUGCGGGAGAAACCGGCUCACCCCUGGCAGAAGACUUUGCCAUUAGCAAAGGGUUAAAGCGGGGGGGGGGGAGGGGGGGUUAUUCAUCUUGCGCCAUAGAUUUGGUUCUUUCCCCGCUGAGGUUGUUCUCCACCGGGUAGCUCCGGUCUCCUCCCGCUGCGCGGCUCUCCGCAGCCCCAUCUCCUCGGGGCGCCCCUGCGCCGGCCUUUGAGUUUCCCUUCUCUCUUUGGGCCAGGGCCGGGCUACGGCGGGGACCCUCACCCCUCCAGCCCUCUCCUCUGCCUCUCUUCCCCCGUACGUUUGCAUUAAAACAUCCGUCCUGGGUUUAA